rnacentral:tRNA from 1 species
GGGGUUGUGGCUCAGUGGUAGAGUGCUUGCCUAACAUGUAUGAGGCACUGGGUUUGAACCUCAGCACCA